UACAGAGAGCUGCAAGCGUUUAUUCGGAUUCACUGGGCGUAAAGGGUGCGCAGGCGGCCAAGUGUGUGAGGCGUGAAAGCCUGGGCUUAACUCCAGAAUUGCACCUCAAACUACAUGGCUAGAGCAUUGGAGAGGGUAGCAGAAUUCACGGUGUAGCAGUGAAAUGCGUAGAUAUCGUGAGGAAUACCAGAGGCGAAGGCGGCUACCUGGACAAUUGCUGACGCUC
rnacentral:rRNA from 1 species